GCCCCACUUGAUGGUGCAGCUGUACUCAUUCCAUCUGUCAUGUGGCUGUGUUCAACACCUUCUCCCUGCCUUCUAAAUGCCAGACUUGUAUGUGGCAGCCAUGGCUGGAGCUCUGCAGGAAGGCUUACUGCAACUUGUUCUGGUACUCAUAGUACUCUGGUACUCACUGCUAGCAAACUUGCACUGCCCUGACCAUGCUGUUUGAUGUAAACAUCUUGCUCAAGUGUCAGUAAGAUGUCCUCAGUGUAGUUGUACUUGUGUCCAACCUCAUCUGCCUUUCUAUAAUUUUUAAAUGUAAUUUUUAAGUCUAUUAAAUUAAAUGUUUUUAAGUGCUUUUUCCUUGCUGUUAAUGGCCUGUGAUCAUGGGCCCCUUGGCAGGACCCUACAUGCCGCUGGGCUGGGUGCCAGGCUGGUGCCAGUGCAGAACAGUGCUUGGUCCCAGCCAGCUGUACUGGGUGACAUCCCUGCCCCAAACCUGCCAGCUGGAGCCACCAGUGCUCACUGUGAGCCUGAAGCUGUGAAGCAGUGCUUCAAACCAGCUCCAGCCAGUGCUGCUGGUACCUGGUGGGGGCAGGACAGCAGCCUGCCAUGGUCCUGCCUUUCAGGCCGUGUGCAGGGAGGGAUUGUGUCACCAAGUUCCAGAGCAGUGGAUACAGUAAAGGCCUUGGAAGUAAUACCUCCUGGAGGUGCCAGCAAUGGUCUGCAGAGGAAGCCUGACCAGAAGCUGGGCUGCGUCCAUGAGAGAAGAUGAUUUUCCAGAUUUUGGUCUGGUCUAAAUCAGACCUGACAUAAGUAUCAAAAAAAACCCACCCCUAAUUUAAGGCAGAUGGACAGUGCUUGGUUUUGGCAUCUCUCGCUGUUCUUUGGCAGUGGUGCAGGGUCACUGCACGGUCAGUGGUGAGGUACCUGCACCAUCAGCUCUGCUUGGCCUCUGUGCUGGAGCUGCGUGCCCUCCUCCAGGGCUGCCCCUGCAGUAAAAGGGGCUGUGGCUCCUGCUCCAGCCCCAGCACAGGCGCUCACUGCCCCAGUGUCCCAGGCUGUGGUGCCCUGCCAGAGCCUCAGGCUCCAGCCCCCAGGCACAGGGGACUCUUUGGGUGCUGCCAGCCCUCAUAGUCAGGCUGGUGCCUCAGUGUGCCAUGCUGGCAUCACCACCCCACCUCGUGUGUGUCUUCUGGCCAGGGGCAGCACAUGAGUCCCUGCCAAGCCGUGAGCCUGCCCGGUGCUCAUUCACCCAGUUUUGGGUGCUGCUACCCAAGGCUAGAGGGCAAUGGGCCUGUGAUAUAGCUGCAGCUAUCACCCUCUGGCUUGACACUGCUACAGCCCCUGUGCCUUUGUUUGUGUCUGUGUCCCCCAUACACGUGUGCACAUCCAUGCCCAGGUCCAUUUGUGGGUCUGUUUGUGCCCAUGGGCACAUCCCUGCCUUACAGGCCAUCCCACUGAGCUCUGCCAUCCCAGCCUGGGCAUCCACUGGGACUGGCAGAGUUUGGGGCAUGGAACAGGAUUCUGGAAGCUCUAGACAGCUCCCAUCAUUGCAGUUCAGCAGGGAAUGCAGCUGUCUGGCAGUCACCAGUCUGUGGUGUGGUGAGCUGGGGAGUCAGUGCCACUGAGCCAUGGCUACAGCAGCCUCAUUUACCCCAGGCUCUGGGCCAGGCAUCCUGUCCUUGGCUACCAGUCUGUGGAGGCUGGCCCCAGCUCUGCACCCACUCUGGGGGUCCCUGCCUCCCUCUCCGUGCAGGCUAGCAGGGCUGCCAGGGAUGGCACCACAUCCCCUGCUGGGCAGCACCUAUGCCUUUCCCAGGCCGUGCUGGGGUUACUGCACAUCUCAGCACACCAGCUGGUGGUGAACAACACCCAGCCAGAGCAACACUCAGAGCCUCAGUGUGCUCUCUGCACAAACCAUCUGUUCCCACUGCUGUACCUGCUGCCCCAGCAGCCCAGCUCCAUCCUGCAGAGCCUGGGAGAAAAGCAUGUUCCUGGUGAAGCCUGUCAGGUGCUGUGGGCUGGAGGGUGGCUUUCCCCUCUGGCACCAGUCUGGGAGAGGCCAUUUUGUGGUUUGAGAAAAUCAGCAAAAAGCAGCGCCUGGCUUCGCUGUUGAGAGGCCUGUGAUAACCCACCCUUCUGGGGAAGGGAAACAACCAGCUCCAACACAGCUGCAUGCGGUUUGCCCUGACACUUGGGUCAUUUCCUCCCCAGGCUUGAUUUGUGAUUUCCUUGUUGCCAUUCUCCCCUGGAUUGAAAGGGGAGCUGGAGGGAUGUUGAGUCCCGCUGUGUCUGGCCCAAGCCAUGCUGAGCUGGCAGGUGGCUGGGGAGGCCUUUCUGUGGCCACUGGCUGGUGACAUGGUGCUCUGGGGUCAUUCCAGGGAUGUAGUGCUGGUGGGUUGGGGUGUUGGGGGUGCAGAGAGUGGGUGACUGCCAGCCUUCCUCCCCAUCUGGCUCCACCACAUCCCAUGGCACACCCUUCUGGGGAAGGGAAGCAACCAGCCCAACACAGCUGCAUGCACUUUGCCCUAACACUUGGGUCAUUCCCUCCCCAUGCUUGAUUUGGGAUUUCCCUGUUGCCAUUCCCCCCUGGAUUGAAAGGGGAGCUGGAGGGAUGUUGAGUCCCCCCACAGAGUGGGGGACUGCCAGCCUCCCUCCCCAUCUGGCUCCACCCCAACCCAUGGCAUUCAUAACUUCAUACCCAACUGGUUUUGGGGGACAUAGGGCUUUCCUGGUGGAUCCUUCAAAGCAGCUCUUUGGACACCAGACCCUUGCCACCUCCAGGGGGGCUACCAAGAGACCAUGAAUGUGGCCAUGCAGGCUGGGGACAGGAUGGAGAUGGGGGGCUGUGCUGCUGAGCCUCUGGAGGGAGAGCUGCAGCUGCAGAGCCUGCCCCUGCACUGCUCCCUGGCCAGAACAGGCCGUGGCAGGCGGAGAUGUAGCAGCAGAUUAAAUUUUGAUCCGCUUGGGAAUUAAAAUAGGCUGGCAAGUCUGCUCUGCUCUGUGACACCAAAUGCUUCAAUGUAAAGAGUUAACGUGCCAUCUUCUUCCCUGUAAAUCUGAGCACUGUCAGAUCCCCUUCCCUGCUGGUGGGCAGAGCUGCAGUGGCUGCUGAGUGGGAUGAAUCUAUCAGCAGGGCCUGAGUCCUGGAAUCUAGGGAAUUGACUCCAGGCAGAUGGAGUCACUGAUGUAACAGAGCAAACUGGUAUCAGCACCUGACAUUUCUGCAGCAGCACUGGGUUGUGCUCACUCACAGUCCAGAAAGGCUCCAGGAAAUCAAAGCCCGUGAUGAGAUUCUUAUCACUGCUUACUCACCUGGCUCCAGGCCGGCCCCAACCCUUCUGUUCUCUGUGGUGAACUUAAGCACACAUGACCCAGUAGCUGUGAGGAGCCUGUGUGCAUCCAAUAAUCCUCUUGCCCUGAGCUGUGCCAGGUGGCCAGCUCUCUAUAAACACACAGGCUUAAUGCUCGCCUCUCUUUGCCUUUGCAGGUCUGGCAUGAUGACUUGCUGCCACAUGGUUGCUCUUCCCUUGCUCUCCUUUCUUCCCAAGGCUGCAGCUGGUGCCCUGGUUCCUGCUCUUGUCCCCCAGUCCACACUGCAACUAGGCAACGGGUGGCUCCUCUCACAGCCUGUGCUGGAGCUGCCAGCACACUGUGAUGAUGCCUGCACCCAGCAGGAUGUCACCCUGGAGCUUCAGAGGAGUCUCUUAUGAGACAGUUGUACCCCCAUGGCACCCACACCUCACUGUGCUGGAAGUGAGCCUGCGAGUGAGUGGUGCAGAGAGGAGAUGGCAGAGGCAGCAUGAGCAGGGCAAGUGGCACAUUUAUGGUGCAAAUGGGAAGUUUCCCAUCAGUAUGGCCACUUCCCGAUGAACUACCCCUUCUCUGCCACCAUCAGGAUCGCCAAAGGCUGCACAGGACCUCACACUGAUGGUGCUUUGUAAGGCUGGACAGAUGACUACUCUUAUUUUUCCAUUUUUAAGUCAAUGUCCUGUUCCAUUUCACUGCAUCUCAGGGGCUGCCUGCAUCAUGGGCUGGUCAAUGCUGACAUUUUUUAAACCUGCUGGAGAAUAAACAUGCAGUUCCUUCAA